GUUACUCGUCAGAAUAUGCAGCAGUUGUGCUGCAUAAGCCAUGGCGAAGGUUUCAGGCUGUCGCAUUUUGCUCGUAUUGGCAGCGCUCGUCCUUUCUUCUAGCUUCGAUGCAACACGACGGCCGGUCAUGUGCUGAUGCAAGACGACGUCCUCGUCGUACCAGAAGAAAUAUUACUGCCACCACUACACGUGCCCCGAUUGUGGGUUUCGGUCCCGGAGGCGUGAACGUGCUCCUUGGACCACCUUUCGAUUGGAGAUUGCCCCUCCGAAGGCAUCCAGGUCGUUAUCCUGGCUAACGAAACUUCGCCUAUACGUGCAGAAGGUUUCACCCACGGCGAGUGACUGUAUGAAGAGUGCAAUAAAGCAUACUGGAGUCAUUAAU